UACGGGGGGGGUAAGCGUUGUUCGGAAUUACUGGGCGUAAAGCGCACGUAGGCGGCUUGGUAUGUCGGGUGUGAAAUCCCCGGGCUCAACCUGGGAACUGCAUCCGAAACUGCCUUGCUAGAGUAUGGGAGAGGGAAGUGGAAUUUCCGGUGUAGCGGUGAAAUGCGUAGAUAUCGGAAGGAACAUCAGUGGCGAAGGCGACUUCCUGGACCAAUACUGACGCUCAGGUGCGAAAGCGUGGGGAGCAAACAGG
rnacentral:rRNA from 1 species